rnacentral:piRNA from 1 species
UGCCACCCUUCCUCAUUGUCAGUGG